AGCAAAUAUUCAAAUGAGAACUUUGAAGACCGAAGUGGAGAAAGGUUCCGCGUGAACAGCAAUUGGACGCGGGUUAGUCGAUCCUGAGAUUCGGGGCAGUCCUGUGUCCGAGUGCGCAGUGCGCAGUGCAUCGAAAGGGGAUCGGGUCAAUAUUCCCGAACCGAGUCGUGGGAGUGGGCGGCGACGCACCGAAUCCGGAGACACCGGCGGGAGCCCGGGAAGAGUUUUCUUUUCUUUUUAACGACCCGCCCGCCCUGAAAUCGCAUUACGCGGAGAUAGGGCCCAGCGGUCGGCAAAGCGUCGCACGUCUUGCGGCGUCCGGUGCGCCCCCGACGGUCCUUGAAAAUCCGGAGGAGCGAGUACUCAUCACGCUCGGUCGUACUCAUAACCGCAUCAGGUCUCCAAGGUGAACAGCCUCUGGUCGAUGGAACAAUGUAGGUAAGGGAAGUCGGCAAAACGGAUCCGUAACUUCGGGAAAAGGAUUGGCUCUGAGGGUCGGGCUCGGGGGUCUGCGUGCGGACCUCGACGGGCUGUCGGCGGUCUGCCCGAGCUGCUCGCGCGGCGAGGGCGGACCGUCGCGUGCCUGUCGGGCGAAGGGCGUAGAAUGGCGCGUGGCGGGGCGCCGGGCGGGCGGGGCGCAUAUAUAUAUAUAUAUAUAUCUGGCCUUCGCGGGUCCGGUGUGUGUGUGUGUGUGUGUCUCUUUGCUCGCACGGUCUUGCUUGCGCGCGCGCUUUUUCCUCGGGCGGUGAACGGCCG
rnacentral:rRNA from 1 species